rnacentral:rRNA from 1 species
AUUGAACGCUGGCGGCAUGCUUUACACAUGCAAGUCGAACGGCAGCACAGGGAGCUUGCUCCUGGGUGGCGAGUGGCGAACGGGUGAGUAAUGUAUCGGAACGUGCCUGGUAGUGGGGGAUAACUACUCGAAAGAGUGGCUAAUACCGCAUGAGAUCUUUGGAUGAAAGCGGGGGACCUUCGGGCCUCGUGCUACUGGAGCGGCCGAUAUCAGAUUAGGUUGUUGGUGGGGUAAAGGCCUACCAAGCCUGCGAUCUGUAGCUGGUCUGAGAGGACGACCAGCCACACUGGGACUGAGACACGGACCAGACUCCUACGGGAGGCAGCAGUGGGGAAUUUUGGACAAUGGGCGCAAGCCUGAUCCAGCAAUGCCGCGUGCAGGACGAAGGCCUUCGGGUUGUAAACUGCUUUUGUACAGAACGAAAAGUCUCUGGCUAAUAUCUAGAGAUCAUGACGGUACUGUAAGAAUAAGCACCGGCUAACUACGUG